GAUGAACGCUAGCUACAGGCUUAACACAUGCAAGUCGAGGGACGGGCGCAGGGGAGAGUAACACGUAUCAAACCCGCCUUUUACUCGGGGAUAGCCUUUCGAAAGAAAGAUUAAUACCCGAUAUAAAGGAUGGGGAUGCGUUACAUUAGGUUGUUGGUGAGGUAACGGCUCACCAAGCCUUCGAUGGAUAGGGGUUCGGAGAGGAAGGUCCCCCGCAUUGGAACUGAGACACGGUCCAAACCGCGACGAGGGGCAGGGGUGAGGAAUAUUGGUGAAUGAGCGCUAGCCUGAACCAGCCAAGUAGCGUUAAGGAUGAUGGCUUUGUGAUCGUAAUUUUCUUUUAUGUAAGAAUCGGUAUUAUAUGAAUAAGGAUCGGCUAACUCCGUGCCAGCAGCCGCGGUAAUUC
rnacentral:rRNA from 1 species